rnacentral:rRNA from 1 species
GAAUCAGCAUGUGUGUUAGUGGAAGCGUCUGGAAAGGUGCGCGAUACAGGGUGACAGCCCCGUACACAAAAGCGCAUGUGCUGUGAGCUCGAUGAGUAGGGCGGGACACGUGGUAUCCUGUCUGAAUAUGGGGGGACCAUCCUCCAAGGCUAAAUACUCCUGACUGACCGAUAGUGAACCAGUACCGUGAGGGAAAGGCGAAAAGAACCCCGGCGAGGGGAGUGAAAAAGAACCUGAAACCGUGUACGUACAAGCAGUGGGAGCACAGGUUUACCUGUGUGACUGCGUACCUUUUGUAUAAUGGGUCAGCGACUUAUAUUCUGUAGCAAGGUUAACCGUAUAGGGGAGCCGUAGGGAAACCGAGUCUUAACCGGGCGUUAAGUUGCAGGGUAUAGACCCGAAACCCGGUGAUCUAGCCAUGGGCAGGUUGAAGGUUGGGUAACACUAACUGGAGGACCGAACCGACUAAUGUUGAAAAAUUAGCGGAUGACCUGUGGCUGGGGGUGAAAGGCCAAUCAAACCGGGAGAUAGCUGGUUCUCCCCGAAAGCUAUUUAGGUAGCGCCUCGUGAAUUCAUCUCCGGGGGUAGAGCACUGUUUCGGCUAGGGGGCCAUCCCGGCUUACCAACCCGAUGCAAACUGCGAAUACCGGAGAAUGUUAUCACGGGAGACACACGGCGGGUGCUAACGUCCGUCGUGAAGAGGGAAACAACCCAGACCGCCAGCUAAGGUCCCAAAGUCAUGGUUAAGUGGGAAACGAUGUGGGAAGGCCCAGACAGCCAGGAUGUUGGCUUAGAAGCAGCCAUCAUUUAAAGAAAGCGUAAUAGCUCACUGGUCGAGUCGGCCUGCGCGGAAGAUGUAACGGGGCUAAACCAUGCACCGAAGCUGCGGCAGCGAACGUAUCACCCAAGACAACUUUACGGAGUUGACGAUUGACGGAGCGAAGCGACGUCAAAGCGUUCAUUAAAGUCGAGUUGGCUUAGGGAUACGUUCGUUGGGUAGGGGAGCGUUCUGUAAGCCUGUGAAGGUGUGUCGUGAGGCAUGCUGGAGGUAUCAGAAGUGCGAAUGCUGACAUAAGUAACGAUAAAGCGGGUGAAAAGCCCGCUCGCCGGAAGACCAAGGGUUCCUGUCCAACGUUAAUCGGGGCAGGGUGAGUCGACCCCUAAGGCGAGGCCGAAAGGCGUAGUCGAUGGGAAACGGGUUAAUAUUCCCGUACUUGGUGUUACUGCGAAGGGGGGACGGAGAAGGCUAUGUUGGCCGGGCGACGGUUGUCCCGGUUUAAGCGUGUAGGUGUGUGUUCCAGGUAAAUCCGGUUCACUUUAACACUGAGGCGUGACGACGAGGCACUACGGUGCUGAAGCAACAAAUGCCCUGCUUCCAGGAAAAGCCUCUAAGCAUCAGGUAACACGAAAUCGUACCCCAAACCGACACAGGUGGUCAGGUAGAGAAUACCAAGGCGCUUGAGAGAACUCGGGUGAAGGAACUAGGCAAAAUGGUGCCGUAACUUCGGGAGAAGGCACGCUGACACGUAGGUGAAGUGAUUUACUCAUGGAGCUGAAGUCAGUCGAAGAUACCAGCUGGCUGCAACUGUUUAUUAAAAACACAGCACUGUGCAAACACGAAAGUGGACGUAUACGGUGUGACGCCUGCCCGGUGCCGGAA